UUCAACCUCAAUCUGUUCUACUAUCUGAACCAGUUGGUAAAACCUCGAUAACACUAUCAGGUUCAUCCUCAGAUAAAUACGCAGUUAUUGGAUCGAGACGGAUCGAUAUUGUUGAACAGGAUUAAGUAUCCUCAGAAUACGAUCUUUGAUCCUGAUCAUAAAUCUCUGGUGAGACAAGGAUCACGAUUUCGUAUUCGUGGUAGGUAUUCAAUUCGCAGCCAGUCGCCGUAAGCAGAACAAUUGAGUACCGGCCAUAAGUUUACGUCGCACCGUUACCCGCUUUCGUCGUGGCUCCUUGAAAAUAAAGAAGACAAAAACCACAAGCGGCGAACGUCAAAACUGAAGUGAUAUUUUCCGCAAGUCAUUAUGACGGGACACUCUUUCCCAAGAAAGCAUCAGGGCAGAACGAUAACCAUCCCUGAGCGUUCCGCCAAUCCCAGAAGAGACUCUGAUCUAUCGUCGUCCGUUCAGUGGGCUUUGCUUGGCUACUACCACCCUCUGUAGUACCCGUUUCUAUGCCAAAGGCCUAUAGGCAGUCGACCACCCUCUUCAGGGAUGUCUCGCAAGCCAACCUCUAUCUAUAAUUUCAUAGGAAGCCGAUACAGGGGGUAGAUAGUUUUGAUGUCGAUUCUGACCACGUGGCCCUGUUAACCAUAUCGAGGUCAUCGAAGGAUAGUAACUGACCUUCUACCCGGAGAUGACGAUCAGCAAGUUCAAGACGAGCAGAUCUUGGGUUCCCUUUGUCGUUCGGAUUCAAUCAGGAUCCCAACCCUCGGAGCCCGAAAGGUUCUUCAUCGCUUGAGGUUAGCUUGCAGUAGGAGUUACGGAAACUUGACUCCUUGGAGAAAGACGCACAGCCGCCGUGAACGUACCUGAAGCAGUACAGUGCUAAUUAAUUGACGUGUCUAAGCUUUGUAGACGAGACGUCAGGUACCUUGCUAAGCCUGGACGCCAGAGGGCUUGCGUUUGCGAGUGCUCCUUAGCGAAAGGCCUUUGUCGUUAAUUCCAUAGGAAUCAGCCAAGGUAUAGUUGCUCCUCGUCUUAUGCUUGAACUCGGAAUCGAUCCCUUCCAUCUCGGAUGAGGAAUAAACCAAGGGACCCAGCGCUAUCUAGUCUAUGAGCCACGUCAACUGUAACAUAACCUAUAAUCACUUACAGAUCUUAUGACCCUGUCAUCCAUCGGCAGGAAGGCUCUGACUUUUCAAGCAAGACAGUCGGAGUGGCAAGUUUUCAUGGCAUCCAUGUAAAAAGAAAGUUUACGUUUCCGGGAAGUGAACGUGCGGCUGAGCAAUGGUCCCUGGUGGCACGACAGACGUCCGUCAAGGUGCCCGUGUUCCUGGGCAGACAUUGAAGUAUUAGUUCCAAGAGAAACGGCGUCGUGGAAGGAAAGAGAAGGGACAAAGGAAGGACGUAACAAGAGGAUACGAAGAUCUAAGAGGCAGGACCAGUCUUGACAAGGACAGCUGAUCCGUGAGUGGAGCAAGCGAAGCGACCGGGAGCGAGAUAACCAAGGACUCGGAUGAAAGGAAGCGAAGAAGAAGGUUUUAAUGUCGAGAAUGAGAAUAUGGGAAAGAGAAUCGAAUGGCAGGGAAGAGCGAAUGGAGGCUGACGAGGUUCGGUCUCCUUUCUCACCCUUGGGACCGGUCGGCAGCCGGCAUCAGCCCAGGUCCGCGCUUCUAUCACGUCGGCGGGCGGACAGCUCCGAGGCGAUUUGUCUUUCAUUUCGGGCUAAUUUAUUGCACUCGGGCAACUCUAGCGCUAUUCUCGACUCUGCACCAUUCAACCACGCCCCACCCAACUAAUGUCCCACAUAAAACUUGGUAUCAGCGAUCCUCAAACGGGGAUUUACAAUCCCUUCAAGCGCCGCUGUCACUAUAAAUUCUCUUGGGCGACGUCGAUAUAUCUCCUGCGCGAAUACUUCUGUCCCUAAUGGAUACCCCUGCUGCCGGUGAUCCUACUGCCAACUGGUCGAUCCUGCGUACGAAUCGCGAGCACCUUCCUUUUCAGAUAUCGAAGUAAAACCAAGAUUGCUUCAGCUAAUGAUGCCCUUGUAGCUUAACCGUACCUUUGUAACUCGGCCAUACCUUAUGCGAGCAUUGGCAGCCUACACGUGCUCGACGCCUACCCCUUUUGCUUCUGUUUAGCCUCAUUUUUGGUAACCAAUAAUCUUUCUGCUAUUAUUUUCUCAUUUUAUAUCUCCACGAAUUUCAUUGCUGUAACGCGUACGUAAUAUCAAUGCGUUAUAAACGGAUGAAACUAUACACUACGUUGUACAGGAAGAAUUCUUUAAACGGACUUUUUUUUCAUAGACUGUACAUAUUACACGUGUCUAAUUGCUGUGUUAUGUCCUCAUGCGUUACUCCGACCUGCUAGGAAAUAGACAACGCAACUUGCGAGGAAUUAGCAGGGGAAACACGAGCAGCCAAGACCAGCUUAAAGCGUUGAAUCAUAACGAGGACUUAUGCCGAAAGCCUCGACAAGAAGCCUUGGGC